rnacentral:lncRNA from 1 species
UCUUCCUAUGUUGCUCAGGCUGAUCUCAAAUUCCUGGGCUCAAGUGAUCCUCCCAUCUCAGUCUCCCAAAGUGUUGGGAUUACAGGUGUGGGCCGACCGUGCCCAGCUACAUGUGUCUUCUGAUUCUCCAACCACCCAAGGAGAUAGCUUCCCAUUUCAUAGAUGAGGGGAUUUACAUAUCUUAGAAAAGGGAAGGUGAAAAAGGAAAAGAAAACAGGUUUUUAUCAAAGGCCUGCUCCAUUUCCAGGAAUUAUCCAGGGCUCUUUCACAUAUAUUAACAAACCUAUUCUCUCAAAAUCAUUACAUGCAGCAUCCAUAGCCACGUUUUAAGUUCUAAAUAAGUUCAAGUUCUGUGAAGUAACUAAGGAGCCUAGCUAGGAAGGUGGAGACUCAGAUGUAAAAUCCAGUGCCCAGGCCAGGCGCGGUGGCUCACGCCUGUAAUCCC